AGCCCGGGGAGGGCAAAAACAAUCUCCCCGCCGUGCUGCAGGAGGCCAACUAAGCCACGCCCACCAUGGCCACACCCACCCAGCAACCGGGUGGCGAACCCCUUCUUAAAAUUUUUGAAGCCCACCCCUGCCUCUCUGGGCUUUUGAAAUUGAGCUUGUAUUCUGAUUGGUUGUCAGACUCCAUGGGGCCAUGCAGGGGGAACUCCGUAGGCUGUCCUGAGUCCCAAGCUUGGUUGAGCUUUGCCGGGUGAUGUAAUCUUCCCAGGUGCCAUGUGGUGAGACGGGUAGAGGGCAGGGGUGGGCGUCAAAGAUUUUAGCAAGGGGUUCUCUGGGGAUCAGAAGAAGAGAGCCAAAGGUUAGAAGUAGCCAGGAUAACAUGUCUUUUUUGACUUCCGGUGAGUGCGGGAAAAGUUGGAAGAUGGAUCGCUGUUGUAAGUCGAGGACUAUCUGUACUGGACUGGAUAGGAUUCCGUCGUGUCUUUUAGGUAACCCACCGACAUUCUCCCUCCUCUUUUUACGAGCAGGAAUAAAAGUUAUUGCGUCUUUCCCGAAUGAUCUACCCGUAUUAUUCCUGAGUUCAAUUCCCCUUCUUGUUUUAUUAUGGUGGAUGACAGAUGGAGUCCCUGCAGGUCAUGGAAACGGUAAGCGGUUUUGCGCGGAGUAACUGAUGAGUAACUUCACACGGCGUCUAGGAGAAGCGAGGAGAGGUCAUCAAUCUUGCAGAUAGUCUUCGACUUACAACAGUUCAUUUAGUGACUGUUCAGAGUUAUAACGACAGUGGAAAAAGUGACCUAUGACCAUGGUGGCGCAGUGGUUAGAAGUGCAACAUUGCAGGCUAAUUCUGCCGACUGCCUGCAGUUUGAUCUUGACCGGCUCCAGGUUGAUUCAGCCUUCCGUCCUUCCAAAGUCGGUAAAAUGAGGACCCAGAUUGUUAAGGGCAAAAUGCCGACUUUGUAAACUGCUUAGAAAAGGCUAUAGCGCCCCAUGUUCAAGUCCGCCAAGAUCCUUCUGUAUCCUGAGCCUAUCUUCUGGAAUGUUGGCUAUUCCUGCCAACUUGGUGUCAUCUGCAAAUUUGAUGAGUUCCCCAUCUAUCCCCUCGUCCAAGUCAUUGAUGAAGAUGUUGAAGAGCACUGGGCAGAUUUAUUCUUGAAUAAGUGGAAUCCGACUAUCCCUUCAUUCACUUUGCUCGUCAGAAAGUCGCAGAAGCUGGAUUCCGUGACCCUGGGACAACGCAACCGUCAUAAAUAUGAGUCCAUUGCCAAGCGCCUGAAUUUUGAUGUCACAACCAUUGCGUGAAAAAUUGCCCUAAGUCACUUUUUCCCGAGCUGUUGUAAGUCAUGGGGUAUCUGUACUCUUACAUGUGGGGAGACCCUCUGUUGUGGCCCGUCAGCGGCCUGUGCAGCUAGUAGCUGAUUCCGACAGCGAGGAGGCUUUUGUGGUGCUGCGCCAGCAGCCUGUGCAGCUGGCACUCGAGUCGGACAGUGAGGAGGCUGGAGAAGAUGUGGUGCCAGAGGCAGGGAUUCAGCCAGAACCUCCAGAAGCUUCCAUAAGUGAAGAGGAAGAAGAGGAGGAGCCUCUUCUUGAUGCACGGGCGCGCAGAGCGGCCAAAAGGCAGGAGUGGCUCCGCAGGAGGAGGUCUCCUUGAGAGUAAGGCUUGGGGAUAAUUGGCCUCUCCCUUAACCUAUUUAAGGAAGGACGACAACUGAGGCAAUUUGCAGGGAACCACUUCAUUCACUCUCCUUCGCGUCUUGAUCUUAGUUCUCUUAUCAGUUUCCUGCAAAUUGCUUCUGGGCUUUCUGCCAACCCUAGUAAGAUUACGAUUAUUUCUUCUUUGGAUUCUUGUAGGCUGUUAAGAAAGUUAAUUAACAGCCUUUGUUUGAAAAAGACUGAUUUAAUUUAGUAAACUAAGGUUUGUACAGAC